rnacentral:lncRNA from 1 species
AUAGAGUUCGAUCAUGUUUCUUUUUUCAGGGGUUUUUUAUGAUAUAAAUCAUACAAACCUCCGAUUUGCCUGAGGGUUUUUGCUCCAUCAGUUAUUUAUACUGACUAUAUUGACUAUAUUUGCACGAUCAUGGCGGAGACCAUCGAUUAGAGUGGCUGGGACAAUUUGCACAAACUCUAAUUUAUUGUCAAACAUUUCUACCGACGAUAAGAUGCUGGUCAGCUUUAUCGUGCACCUGUAAGAGGAAAGAAUAUAUAAAAAAUACGUUUAGAGUACAAAUAAACAAAAACCAACAUAAGCACAGGUAUAGAUAGAUACAGGUAAGAAGUUCUUUAUCAAAGUAUUUAAACAAGUGCAAACGUAACCAAUCUUCUGUUGUUGUGCUGUAUUUUGUGCUGUAGACAUUUCUUAUAAGGGAUAUUUGACUUAAAUUCAAUCGACAGAGGAACCGAAUGGAUGGUGGAAAGAUCGAUCAAGCCAGAACAAAAGACAAUGCACAUUGUGGGGAAAGACGAGCUACGAGACGCUCACGGCGUGCUGAUGAUAUGUACAUACAUACAAAAGUACAAACAUAUGUAUGUGGAUUCAGUUGUAAAGACAAGACAAUGACGCGACGUCGAAAUGUCUGCUAGUCUGUCUCAUAUUUACCGCCCUUACACAAAUACUCAUAUGCUCGUAUAAUACAUUUUUCGAUCUACGAAGUGUAUACUUAAUUUACAAUCCACAUGUGCAUUUACUUACAGCCGAAUGUUAAUAUUGUUGGCCACCGUUUAAAGAUAUGUACCUUUUCAUGAAAAAAAAACAAGUGAUAUGAAAAAUAACGAUGACUCAAUCGACUACUUAAAAUGCCAUGAGAGAGGCUUCCCUCCCUUCCCGCGCGAGAUAUUUUAUUAUAUUUGGUAAAACGUAAAUAAGAAGGGUGUCCGCAAAUGUCGGGUACGAUACAGAGGGCGGGUUUCAAAGUGAUAAUGAGAAACCAGCUCAGAAAUUGCAUAAAUAAACAUAUGUAUAUGUAUAUGUAUUUAUAUUUAAAGAAUUAUGAUUCUUUUCUAU